GACGAACGCUGGCGGCGUGCUUAACACAUGCCAGUCGAACGGUGAAGCGCCUUCCUUUUUGGUGGGUGUGGAUGAGUGGCGAACGGGUGAGUAACACGUUAGUAACCUGCCCCCUUCUUCUGGAUAACCGCAUGAAAGUGUGGCUAAUACGGGGUAUUCUGUGUCUGUCGCAUGAUGGGUCUGGGAAAGAUAUUGUUUCGGUGGGGGAUGGGCUCGCGGCCUAUCAGCUUGUUGGUGGGGUGAUGGCCUACCAAGGCGGUGACGGGUAGCCGGCCUGAGAGGGUGGGCGGUCACACUGGGACUGAGACACGGCCCAGACUCCUACGGGAGGCAGCAGUGGGGAAUAGUGCACAAUGGGCGCAAGCAUGAUGCAGCGACGCCGCGUGAGGGAUGGAGGCCGUCGGGUUGUGAACCUCUUUCGCCAGUGAAGCAGGCCUGCCUCGUUUGUGGGUGGGUUGACGGUAGCUGGAUAAGAAGCGCCGGCUAACUACGUG
rnacentral:rRNA from 1 species